rnacentral:rRNA from 1 species
UACAGAGGGCUCAAGCGUUGUUCGGAUUCAUUGGGCGUAAAGGGUGUGUAGGCGGCGCGCUAAGUCGGGUGUGAAAUUUCGGAGCUUAACUCCGAAACUGCAUUCGAUACUGGCGUGCUUGAGGACUGGAGAGGAGACUGGAAUUCAUGGUGUAGCAGUGAAAUGCGUAGAGAUCAGGAGGAAGACCAGUGGCGAAGGCGGGGCUCUGGACAGUUCCUGACACUGAGACACGAAGGCCAGGGGAGCAAACGGG